UGGAUCUAAACUCACAAUAUAUCUGAAGUAUGCCUGUACUUCUGAGUUCCUACUGAAAUUACUCUUCCCAGGAUUACCAAUAAUUUCCUAAUCAUCAAAUCCAAGGGUCUUUUCUGUUCUCAUGCUUUUUGACCUCUGCAGAUUUUGGCACAUUUUGACCAUUCCCCAGCUCCUGGAUACUCUUCUCUCCCUUGGCUUUCCUGAUACUACUUUCUUUUAAUUCUCCCCCAUCCUCCUUAUUCACCCUCCCUGGAUCAUCAUCCAUCAGUAAGUCUGCAUGUGUCUUUUUAGUUCCUAGUUCUCUCUGAGUUAGCAAAGCAGCUCCUGUGGAUUCAUUUAUUACCAUUCUGUUCAAAGCUCCCAAACCAAUAUACCCCAGACAUCUUGCCACCUGAAUGUGCCAUAAGCACCACAAAUUCACGUCCAAAAUGGAAUUAUACUUGUUGUUCAGUUGUUUUUCAGUUGUAUCCAACUCUUCGUGACCCCAUUUUGGGUUUUCUUGGCAAAACUGUUGGAAUGGUUUCCUUUUCCAGUUCAUUUUACAGAUGAGGAAACUGAGGCAAACAGGGUUAUUAAGUGAUUUAUCACAACAGAGGGUCACACAGCUAGUAAGUAUCUGAGGUCAGAUUUGAAUUCAGGAAGAUGACUUCCUAACUCCAGGCCCAUUUUAUCCACUGUGUCAACAAAUUGCCCCAGGAAUUACAUAUUCUCCCAAAAUUCAACCUCUCCUCCAAAUAUCCCUAUUUUCAUUGAUAGUACCACCAUCCAUCCUUUUAGUUGGCCAAGUUAUGAGAGUCAGAGAGUGGUCAUUGUUUGGGUCCUCAGAGUGAAUGCAAAUAGCAGUCUUUUCUGUUUUGCCCAGAAACUCUGAAGGUUCUUUCUCUCCCAGAUUUAUUUGUUAUUGUUUUUUUUAUUACAUUUAAGAGGAGAUACUUUGCCUCAUUUACUACCCAACCUUAAUCACUGAAUGAUUCAGCCUCAAACUGGGACCUGUUGAGGACCUGAGCUUAAAGAGGGCAAAGUCUCCCAAUGCAACCAGGGCUAUCUCCAGUCAUUCUGAUCCAUAUUGGACCACUGAGAAGGCUCUAGAGGGAAAACUGAGACAGGUGACCUUGCACAGCCCACCUUCACUUAGAUCCAACUCACUUGCAUGUCACAGCAUCACAAAUGCUCUCUGCUGUCAUGGUCUUCUUGGAGAACAAACAACAUUCUUUCAGUACCUGGGGUUCACAACCUUGGAGCCAUUCUUUAUUCUCCCCUCUCCCACCAUAUCUAUUACCUAGCCUUCUUGAUUUUGCUACCACAUUUCUUGCAUUAGUGUCCUUCUGUCCACUGACAUGGUCAUCAUCCAGGCUCAGGCAUUCAUCAUCUCUGACUUGGACUACUGCAAAAGCUUCCUAACUGAUCUUCCAGCUUUCAGCUCCAGUUCUCUCCCUUCUCUAAUCCAUCCAUCACACAGCUGAAAAUAAAAUAAAUAAAAUGAAGUCCAAACAUGUUAUUCUCCUGAUCAAAGAUCUUUAGAGACUUCCUGUUGCCUCUAGGGUAAAAUGCAAUCUUCAGCCAAAUAUGGAAAGCCCUCUACCACCGUUUCCCACCUGCCUUUCCAAACAUUUCAGAUUACUCCUCUAUACACAUGUUCUAAUUCCAGCCAAAAUGGCCUCUGAGCUAUUCUCUGAACUCAACAUUCCAUUUUCUAUCUUCAUACCUUCAUACCCAUUUGCCUAGAAUCAGUUAAUCCAAAAGCAUUUAUUAAGCAUUUACAAUAUGCCAAAUACUAAGCUCAGCACUAGUAAUAUAAACAUUAAAAAAAAAAAAAAGUUUCUGUAGUCUUGUACCUAAGGAGCUUACAUUUUAAUGGGUGGAAACAAUUUGUAGGUAAAUAUAGCAUAUGUACAGAAUAAAUAGAAGGUAAAAUCAGAGGGCAAGGCAUUAGUAGCUGGGGAAAUAGGGAACAGGUUCUUGAAGAAGGUUGGAUUUGAGCUGAGACUUCAAGGAGGCCAAGGUGAGAAGAGGGAGCAUUCUAGGCAUGGGGGGGCAACCAAUGCCAAGGCACGGAAAUGGGAGAUGGAAUAUAACACAUGAGAGGAACGGCAAUUAGGCCAAGCAGCUGGAUUGUGGAGUAGAUGGAAGGGAGCAUAGGAGGAGGAAACUUCUUCACUCUAAUCCGUAGGUUCUUUCCUGCCUGGAUGCCCUAAAGGAAGGAAGCAAGGACAAAUGGAAGCCUGGAUGGAGAGCAAGUAUCAGCAGCCUGCAUACCGGCCUGAACAACAUGAAGCCACAGGCACAUGGCUCUGCUGCUCUGUCCCUGUUGUGUCCAUUAUUCUUUCCUGCCUAGUGAAGGAACAUUAGAGAUGGAAUGGACUAGACUACAACUCUGUGAGCUUCAGAAGAUCAGGAGAAAACUAGGGAUCCAGGAACUGGAAUAUAUAUUUGCGAGAAUCUGUGGACAGAGAAGAUUGAUGAGGAUUGACACCAAAAUGUUGGUUUCUGGAAGGAAGGGUCUUCUUCACUCAUUAGUCAUGUCACAUUCAGAAGUGAUAUUAGUGGGACAAAUACUCUAAAGUAAUCAACUCAAGGGUGAACUCAUUCCCCCCAGGGACUAGUGUGGUGGUGGUAAUGGUGGUGAUAUGGAGUGUCCUUGAUUCAGGAGGAUGUGUUUAUAUUUCUGUUCUUGCUUUAUCUUCUUGAUAGAUCAAAUUCUCUGUUCAGCUCUACUCUUUUCAUCAAAAAAUAAUUGAAAUGCCCUAUUUCAUUGAAUAGCCAUCUUUUUCCUUAAAAGAUAAUGCUUAGUUUUGCUGGGCACUUGAUUCUUUUGCCCUCCAAAAUACAAUAUUCCUUUGAUCCUUUAAAGUGGAAAUUGCUAUGUUCUGAAUAGUCUUGAUUGUGGCUCCUUGAUAUUUGAAUUCUUUCUGGCUGCUUGCAGUAUUUUUCCCUCAAUCUGAUAAUUCUGGAAUCUAGUUACAAUAUUCCUUGGAAUUUUUGUUUUGGGGUCUCUUUCAGGUGGUGAUUGGUGGAUUCUUUCAAUGGUUAUUUUACUCUCUGGUUGUAGAACAUCAGGGCAGUUUCCCUUGAUUUCUUGAAAGAUGUUGUCUAGGAUCUUUUUUUCAUCAUGGUUUUCAAGUAGUCCAAUAAUUAUUAGAUUGUCUCUACUGGAUUUAUUUUCCAGGCUAGUUGCUUUUCUGAUGAGGUAUUUUAUAUUUUCUUAUUUCUUCAUGUUUUAAUGUUUUGUUAAACUGAUUCUUGAUGUCUCAUUGAGUCAUUCACUUCCAUUUGUUCAACUCUAAUUUUUGGUGAAUUAUUUUCUUCAGUUAGUUUUUCUACCUCCUUUUGAAUUUAGCUAAUUGAACUUUCAAAUGAGUUGUUUUGUUCAUUGCAUUUUUUUUCCAUUUCACCAUAUUUUUAAAGUUGUUCUCUUUUUUCCAUUUCACCUAUUCUGUUUUUCAAGUUUUCUUUUUCCAUUUUGCCAAAUCUAUUUUUUAAGGAUUAUUUUCUUCUGACACUUUCUGUGUUUCCUUUCCCCAUUUUUCUUCUCUCUUUUAAAAUCCUUUCAAGAGAGUAUUUUGAGUCGAAGGCAAACUCUUAUCACCCUUUGAGACUUCAUCUGAAGAUGUUUUGCCUUUAGUGCCCUCAGGGUUUGAGGUUCUGUUCUUCCCUAUGUCCAUAAUAGCUAUCUAUAGUCAGAGCUCUUUUUGUAUUUUUGUUCAUUUUUAAAGGUUGAAAUCUAUUCUUAGGGGAAAGGGAAAAUUGUCCCAAUCUUCCUCUACAAUGCAACAAUGGCUUCUUUCUUGUGGGCAUGGCCAAGUCCCACUUGUUAUGCUAGGGUUCAGGGACACCACAAUUCUGUAGUGGUGCUGGAGAUUUCAUAGCUAAGUCUGCUGAUCCACAGACUUCUGAACCAGGACAGAGUAGCCAACACUGCUGUAUUUUGGUUAGGAGCCUCCCACUAGAUUCCCCUGCCAUGUGGAAGCUUCUCCACCCUGGGCCUUGCCUGCAUUGCGCCUGCAGUGGGUUGUGUUUCCCCUGCCCAAAUGAGACAAACCUUUCUGAAAUUCUUUCAAAAUAUCUUCUGUUGGAAAUUUGUUACAUUCCAAAUAUUUUUGGGUUCUAUUACUCCAAAAUGCAUUUAGAAGCUUGAUCUGGUAUUGAUUCUGAAGCAAGCCAGAAAGAGUUCAGGCAAAGAGCUGUCUAAUCUCUGCCAUCUUGGCUCUGCCCUAUCUUCUUGAUAAGUAACUCUUUUGUAAAAGUUAAAAAAAAAAAUUCUUAGAAAAAUAGGAAGGAGCUAGAUUAAGAAAAGCAUUAAACAUAAAACUCAGAUUUUUACAUUUGAUCCUAGAGAUAAUACGGAGUUCCUGGAGUUUAAUAAAUAAAGCAGUGACAUGAUCAGACCUGCAAUUUAGGAAAAUCUCUCUGGCAAUUGAAAUAUGGAUUAGAGUGAGGAA
rnacentral:lncRNA from 1 species